UACGGAGGAUGCGAGCGUUAUCCGGAUUUAUUGGGUUUAAAGGGUGCGUAGGCGGCUUUUUAAGUCAGCGGUGAAAUUUUGCAGCUUAACUGUAACAGUGCCGUUGAUACUGGGGAGCUAGGAUUUGGUUGCUGUGGGUGGAAUGUGUGGUGUAGCGGUGAAAUGCUUAGAGAUCACACAGAAUAUCGAUUGCGAAGGCAGCUCACAAAGCCAAGAUUGACGCUGAGGCACGAAAGCGUGGGGAGCGAACAGGAUUAGA
rnacentral:rRNA from 1 species